rnacentral:rRNA from 1 species
AGGGAAUCUUCCGCAAUGGACGAAAGUCUGACGGAGCAACGCCGCGUGAGUGAUGAAGGUUUUCGGAUCGUAAAGCUCUGUUGCCAGGGAAGAACGUCCGUUAGAGUAACUGCUAACGGAGUGACGGUACCUGAGAAGAAAGCCCCGGCUAACUACGUGCCAGCAGCCGCGGUAAUACGUAGGUGGCAAGCGUUGUCCGGAAUUACUGGGCGUAAAGCGCGCGCAGGCGGCUGUUUAAGUCUGGUGUUUAAUCCUGGGGCUCAACCCCGGGUCGCACUGGAAACUGGACGGCUUGAGUGCAGAAGAGGAGAGUGGAAUUCCACGUGUAGCGGUGAAAUGCGUAGAGAUGUGGAGGAACACCAGUGGCGAAGGCGACUCUCUGGGCUGUAACUGACGCUGAGGCGCGAAAGCGUGGGGAGCAAAC